rnacentral:rRNA from 3 species
CCUGGUGGUUAUGGCGGGGUGGCUGCACCCGUUCCCUUUCCGAACACGGCCGUGAAACGCCCCAGCGCCUAUGGUACUUCGUCUCAAGACGCGGGAGAGUCGGUCGCUGCCAGGU